UUGUCUCAAAGAUUAAGCCAUGCAUGUCUCAGUACAAGCCAAAUUAAGGUGAAACCGCGAAAGGCUCAUUAAAUCAGUUAUGGUUCCUUAGAUCGUACCUACGUUACUUGGAUAACUGUGGUAAUUCUAGAGCUAAUACAUGCAAACAGAGCUCCGACCGGAGACGGAAGGAGCGCUUUUAUUAGAUCAAAACCAAUCGGUGGCGGUUCGUCCGUCAUCGUACAACUUGGUGACUCUGAAUAACUUUACGCUGAUCGCACGGUCUUGCACCGGCGACGCAUCUUUCAAAUGUCUGCCUUAUCAACUGUCGAUGGUAGGUUCUGCGCCUACCAUGGUUGUAACGGGUAACGGGGAAUCAGGGUUCGAUUCCGGAGAGGGAGCCUGAGAAACGGCUACCACAUCCAAGGAAGGCAGCAGGCGCGCAAAUUACCCACUCCCGGCACGGGGAGGUAGUGACGAAAAAUAACGAUACGGGACUCAUCCGAGGCCCCGUAAUCGGAAUGAGUACACUCUAAACCCUUUAACGAGGAUCAAUUGGAGGGCAAGUCUGGUGCCAGCAGCCGCGGUAAUUCCAGCUCCAAUAGCGUAUAUUAAAGUUGUUGCGGUUAAAAAGCUCGUAGUCGAAUCUGUGUCCCGCGCCGCCGGUUCAUCGUUCGCGGUGUUAACUGGCGUGUCGCGGGACGUCCUGCCGGUGGGCUUAGCUCGCAAGGGCGGCCCAACUCAAUCCCGCCGCGGUGCUCUUCAUUGAGUGUCGAGGUGGGCCGGCACGUUUACUUUGAACAAAUUAGAGUGCUUAAAGCAGGCUAAAACUUUGCCUGAAUACUGUGUGCAUGGAAUAAUGGAAUAGGACCUCGGUUCUAUUUUGUUGGUUUUCGGAACCCCGAGGUAAUGAUUAAUAGGAACGGAUGGGGGCAUUCGUAUUGCGACGUUAGAGGUGAAAUUCUUGGAUCGUCGCAAGACGGACAGAAGCGAAAGCAUUUGCCAAAAACGUUUUCAUUGAUCAAGAACGAAAGUUAGAGGUUCGAAGGCGAUCAGAUACCGCCCUAGUUCUAACCAUAAACGAUGCCAGCUAGCGAUCCGCCGACGUUCCUCCGAUGACUCGGCGGGCAGCUUCCGGGAAACCAAAGCUUUUGGGUUCCGGGGGAAGUAUGGUUGCAAAGCUGAAACUUAAAGGAAUUGACGGAAGGGCACCACCAGGAGUGGAGCCUGCGGCUUAAUU
rnacentral:rRNA from 1 species